rnacentral:rRNA from 1 species
GAUGAACGCUGGCGGCGUGCCUAAUACAUGCAAGUCGAGCGAACAGACGAGGAGCUUGCUCCUCUGACGUUAGCGGCGGACGGGUGAGUAACACGUGGAUAACCUACCUAUAAGACUGGGAUAACUUCGGGAAACCGGAGCUAAUACCGGAUAAUAUAUUGAACCGCAUGGUUCACUAGUGAAAGACGGUUUUGCUGUCACUUAUAGAUGGAUCCGCGCCGCAUUAGCUAGUUGGUAAGGUAACGGCUUACCAAGGCGACGAUGCGUAGCAGACCUGAGAGGGACAAUGGGCAGCUGGGAAGAGAGGAAGCGCCCAGACUUCUACGGGAGGCCGCAGUAGGGAAUCUUCCGCAAGGGGGGAAAGCCGGAUGUAGCGACGCCGGGUGAGGGAUGAAGGUGUUCGGAUCGGAAAACGCUGUUAGUAGGGGAGAACAAAUGUGCAAGUAACUAGGAACGUCAUGACGGUACCCAGUCAGAAAGCCACGGCUAACUACGUG